rnacentral:rRNA from 1 species
GACGAACGCUGGCGGCGUGCCUAAUACAUGCAAGUCGAACGAGCGGCGGACGGGUGAGUAAUGUAUGGGGAUCUGCCCGAUAGAGGGGGAUAACUACUGGAAACGGUGGCUAAUACCGCAUACUAUCGGAUGAGCCCAUAUGGGAUUAGCUGGUAGGUGGCGUAAAGGCUCACCUAGGCGACGAUCUCUAGCUGGUCUGAGAGGAUGACCAGCCACACUGGAAUUGGGACAGGGCCCAGACUCCAACGGGGGGCAGCAGUGGGGAAUAUUGCAAAAUGGGCACAAGGCGGAGGCAGCCAGCCGGGGUGUAGGAAGAGGGCCUGAGGGUUGUAAAGUACUUUCAGCGGGGAGGGGUUACCCGCAGAAGAAGCACCGGCUAACUCCGUGCCAGCAGCGGGGUAAUAC